AUACGGAGGGUGCAAGCGUUACUCGGAAUCACUGGGCGUAAAGCGCGCGCAGGCGGCUAUUUAAGUUGGAUGUGAAAGCCUACGGCUCAACCGUAGAACUGCAUCCAAAACUAUUUAGCUAGAGUGUGGGAGAGGAAGAUGGAAUUAGUUGUGUAGGGGUAAAAUCCGUAGAGAUAACUAGGAAUACCAAAAGCGAAGGCAAUCUUCUGGAACACUACUGACGCUGAGGCGCGAAAGCCUGGGGAGCAAACAGGAUUAGAAACCCUAGUAGUCC
rnacentral:rRNA from 1 species